AACCCGGAUUUUUUCAAAUCCAAAUCCAAAUCCUUUAAAAAGAUUU
rfam:Daphnia magna strain Xinb3 scaffold02760, whole genome shotgun sequence.